GGCAAGUGAUGUCCUUUUCUCACGAUGGUCUGCGGAUGCCCAGGGCGGUGCCGAUAAUGCCACAGGCUCAGCUGAUGCCAAGAG
ensembl:snoRNA small nucleolar RNA, C/D box 35A